rnacentral:rRNA from 1 species
UACGAAGGUGGCAAGCGUUGUUCGGAUUUACUGGGCGUAAAGGGAGCGUAGGUGGUUAGGUAAGCCCUCUGGGAAAUCUUCAGGCUUAACCUGAAAAGGUCGGGGGGGACUGCCUAGCUAGAGGGCGGGAGAGGAGCGCGGAAUUCCCGGUGUAGCGGUGAAAUGCGUAGAGAUCGGGAGGAAGGCCGGUGGCGAAGGCGGCGCUCUGGAACGUUUCUGACACUGAGGCUCGAAAGCGUGGGGAGCAAACAGG